CCUUUUGAUUGAUGGGCUCUACCUCCAUUAAGAGUACUACUCGAGGAACAGCCCUAUUUUGUGGCAUCCUUCUCAGGUCCGUUAACCAAUCAAUUCUUUUGUUUACUUGCUACGUCAGUGCAUGACGUGAGUAGCGUAGUCUCGGCUGCGCGAACUCUUAAUCUCUUUUCCUCGUCCCUGAGCUAGUCAUCACGUGUGCGCACUCUCGUGUGCGCGAGCUGUUGGAUAUAUGAGCUGUUGGAUGUAUUGAACGCUGUAUGCGCAAACCAGUGUGCGCGAACUGUUAGAAUCUUUUAAAGGCUUCCUCCAUCAACCUCCUCCUCCACGGCAGCAAGGCACACCACCCCCAUCGAACACCCCCAUCCAGCUUAGACUAAACCUAUUCAUCAACCAACCCCCAAGGAGACCUCCACACCCCAAACCAUCCUCUCCACAGUGACUGUGUACCAGGCACUCUCUCACAUUUCUGCCUCUGCGAUAGGUCACACUAGGACCCAC